GGCCACUGAGAGGGGAGGAGCAAGUUGUCCCAAAAGUCAGGAGUAACAGCAUUUCAAGAAGGAGGCAGCGAUAAAUUCUGUCAGUGGCUGCUCAUGGAUUAAGUAUAAUGAGAACUGAGAACUACCCUUUUGUUUGGCACUGGGAAACAAUUGGUGACCUCAGCCUCAUGUCACUAGAAGCUACAGUAUUGGACAGCACAGCUGCAGAGUGUCUGUUCUUUGAGGAUUCUCUGUUCUCCAAAUGUAAAAUCAAGAAUGAGAACGCUGGCAGAAGUAAGGAAAGAUGAGACCUGUUUUGAAAACGAAGUUUUAGAGGAACUAUGUGAACAGAUUGUGUUCUUCAGGGGCCUGGCACAUGAUGACAUCUAACACCCAUGGCCAACAGCAUUCAUAAUCACCAAUACGCAGCAUCAUACUCUGUCUACUGGCAAUUCCCAGAGAUCCAAGAAAUAUGUAAAACACUGGCUAGAAAGUGUUCUUGUGGCACGAGGCGGUGCUCAUCAGGUGGCUUUAGGGUGCACUGGUCACCUGUUACGUGCAGGUCUCCUGGAGGACCUGAGUCCCUGCCCCAGCUCAGCCCACACCACCUCUGUCACCCUGAGACUUAUAACCAGGCCAGGCGCGAUGGCUCAUGCCUAUAAUCUCAGCACGAUGGGAGGCCGAGGCGAGUGGAUCACUUGAGGUCAGGAGUUCAAGACCAGCCUAGCCAACAUCUCUACUAAAAAUAUACAAAAAUUAGCUGGGCGUGGUGGUACACGACUGUAGUCCCAGCUACUUGGGAGACUGAGGCAGGCGAAUUGCUUGAACCCGGGAGGUGGAGGUUGCAGUGAGCUGAGAUCGCGCCACUGCACUCCAGUCUGAGUGACGGAGCAAGACCCCAGCUCAAAAAAAAAAAAAAGGCCAUUGAGUCCCUGUCUCUUCAGUAGUACUCUCCUUAAGGUCAUUGGGAGGAUUAAAUGAGAUAGUGUAAUGUACAUUAAAGUCAUUUAUAAAUAUUUCUAAAUGAUUUAUAAAUUAUUUCUAAAACCAAAAUAGCCCAGACCUCACCAGACGCAGCCUGUGAGUGGCAACAAGUCACACUGACAUUCGUGCUGAAUUAUAAUGAUGGGCUACUUAAGAAGGAAUGCUUGUGGCUGCCCUGAGUCUAAAUACAAAAGCCGCCUUGCCUUUGGAAGCAAGGUAGAGGUGGGAAGACUGGCCCUAUCACCACCCAAUGCUGCGCAUGUCGUCUAGAUUCCCAAAGCUGCAAGCUUGCAAACUAGGUGCUUUGGUUUGGGCUCUGGAGAAACCCCUCCAGCCAGUGUGAACCUGUAUGAGUGUUGGGGGGUGGGGAGGGGGAGCAAAAUAGAUGGGACUUUAUGCCUUCCCCUUCUAUUUUCUUUAUCCGCCCUCCACCAUCUCUCUCCCAGGCCAGACACAAAAUUCUUCUCUUCUUCUGCUCAAAAACCGAACUCUCCCAAGCAUUCACUUCUGCAAGCAGUUACCUGAAGGAGUCACCAUCUAUAAACAGCUCCUGUCUGAAUGGCAUUGAGGCACAAUAGGGCACCCUGCCACAGAGAUAUACAGGGUUAUCAUGCCCACCUCCUGACUCACUCCUUUCUCAUUUGAUCCUGAGAAACAGGAAGUAAAAGGCCACAAUAAUUGGAAAUGACCUGACUUCCCAUCCAUUUAACACUGAGUCACCGAGUCCUUAGGUGCUCUCCUCAGUUAAAGUUUUACCAUGAUGACUUUUGCUGUUGUUGCUGCUUCAUUUUGAUUGGUGAAUGAAAUGGCUCCCCCAAAACCUUAAGUAAGUUCUUGAGUGAUGUGUGUAUGGUUGCUUGUUUUAAAAUCAGUGUUAUUAUUUGAUUAUAAAUUCUUCUAUGAAAGAAGUUGAAAGGAAGACUCCAGGCAAGAGACCCACGGAGUUAUUUAAGGAUUAUAGACUUAUUUUCAAGGCAGUUAUGCUAAAUUAUGGAUGAUGCACUCCCUGGAAGACAAUGUGAGCCUCUCUAGAAAAGGCAAGUGUUUCUCUUUUAGAUGAGAAGAAUGGAAGCUCAGAAGCUGAAACAACUUGCCCAAGGUCACACAACAGGUUAGGAGCAAAAUCAGGAUGAUUUGUUUUCUUUGGACACUUAUCCUGCUCUAAGAUCUGCCUAUCCAUGACAUACAUUUAAAUUAAUGGACUCUCCCACUCCAACUACAAGAGUAAUUUGUGCUUGCUACAUGAAAUAUUAAAAUAUAAAAAUUAUUCAUAAUUCUACCACCCAGAGAUAACCACCAUUAACACGUAUGUAUCUUUCUGGGCCCUUAGUCACUGCAGAUGGACAGGAGCACGGGAUAACAAGUGUGCAGGGGACUGGGGGACGUGACAUGGCUGAGCUCUGGUCAAGGCAGGAUUCCUGCACCACAUGCUUCUGCUCCUUUGGCUUCCCUCCUGGGGCAGCCUUGGCACAUGGAGCCCAGGGUAGUCUAUGAGAGGGACUUACAUCAUGUCCACACCAGCCAUAUCCAUCUUGGGUAUAUCCACCCAUCUCCAGAACCAUGAGGAAAUAAAUUUUUCUUGUUUAUGCUACCCACUCUGUGGUAUUGUCUUAUGGCAGCCCAAGCUGACAAAUAGAUUUUGGUACCAUGAAGAGGGGUGCUGCUAUAAUAAAUACCUAAACAUGUAAAGUGGCUUUGUAGCUGGGUAAUGGGUAGAAGCUGCAAGUCUGAGAUGAGGUCACCCACGUGAUUGAGUCCUAGUAAGGGCUCUCUUCUGGGCCUGCGGUCGGCCGCCUUCUCACUGGGCUCUCACAUGGCCUUUGCUUGGAGAGAGAUCUCUCUCUUUCCCUCUCCUCAUAAAGGCACUAAUCCCAUCAGAAGGACCCCACCGUCAUGAUCUCAUCUAAACUUAAGUACUUCCUAAAGACCCUGUCUCCAAAUACCAUUGUAUUGGCGG
rnacentral:lncRNA from 1 species